GCAAUGGACCCAGCUCACGGGAGCUUGCAGUCUAACACAGGAAACAGCCACCUGCAUCUGUAAAGGUACUGAUGAGACCUCUUUAGUAUGACACUGGCAACUGACGGCACUGCGGAUAUGUUUGGAAUAAGGUUCAAAAGAAGAGGCUGUUCUAAGAAAGACUACCGAGUAAUCAAUCACCUCCUCAGAGAAAGUCUGCUCAGGGACCAGCUCUGUGAACACGGCAAGUAACAACAGAGAGAAAACGUGAGGAGAAAAGAGAGACCGGGAUUUUGAAAUCCUGUUUCCUGAAUGCCAUCUCACCAGGCACACGAAAGAAUAAAAUUAAGGAAUCAAGA
rnacentral:lncRNA from 1 species